rnacentral:rRNA from 1 species
UUCCUACGGGGGGCAGCAGUGGGGAAUAUUGCACAAUGGGCGCAAGCCUGAUGCAGCCAUGCCGCGUGUAUGAAGAAGGCCUUCGGGUUGUAAAGUACUUUCAGCGGGGAGGAAGGCGAUGGGGUUAAUAACCCUGUCGAUUGACGUUACCCGCAGAAGAAGCACCGGCUAACUCCGUGCCAGCAGCCGCGGUAAUACGGAGGGUGCAAGCGUUAAUCGGAAUUACUGGGCGUAAAGCGCACGCAGGCGGUCUGUUAAGUCAGAUGUGAAAUCCCCGGGCUUAACCUGGGAACUGCAUUUGAAACUGGCAGGCUUGAGUCUUGUAGAGGGGGGUAGAAUUCCAGGUGUAGCGGUGAAAUGCGUAGAGAUCUGGAGGAAUACCGGUGGCGAAGGCGGCCCCCUGGACAAAGACUGACGCUCAGGUGCGAAAGCGUGGGGAGCAAACAGGAUUAGAUAC